CGGGUGACUGUCAAAAUAAACUCUUCGUUAGAUUAUCUUGCCCUUUCACCCAGUUUCACACUGUGCACCCUGAUUUAUAUGUCAUUUCUAGCAAUUCACAAACAAAACUAAGACCAUAGAUACAGUGAGAGACAAGAUACGAUUGCACUCAAAAUGCAAAAUACAUCAAUAAAAAAUACAGACAAAUGAAAAUAAAUGAUCUAUAAAUUCUUCUGAAAAUAAAUACAUUUAAUAUAAUACCGAGAUGCACAUAGGAAUACAUUAACCAAUAUAAAUAAUAAGGACUUUGAAAUAGUUACUCGACCCGGAAUAAAAGACAGAACUGAGAUAUAUGUAGUUUUCGCUAAAAACAUAGAAUUAACAUAAAGGACCAAAAGAUUAACUUUGAUAGGAAACUUACCGUUAAAAUAAUAUGCUCAUCUAAGUCCGUUAUAGGUAGGAUUACUAAAAUUAUUAUUGACACAGUACUACCCAGACUUAGAUCGAAGAUUAAACUCUUACUAUAGUCGGACACACUAUAGGUUAUUUUGUGGUUCAAAAUAUUAGAGAUGGAUAGUAGUAAAUUUAUUUAAUUUGACAUGUCAAAUUAUUGUACUACCAUUAAUCAGGUUCUAUUAAAUGAUGCUCUAAAUUCUUUUAUGUGCAAUUCGGAUUUAUCUAGGUCAAAUAUAGAUAUUAUACUAUCUGCAUGUUGCACACUAAUAGAUUUCGAUAAUAAACUAUGGACGAGAGCUAAUGGUGCAAACUCUUUUGAUAUAGCAAUGGGAUGAAGUGACUCUGUGCAAGUCAUUGAUCUCGUUGGAAUAUAUAUCCUAUUCCAAAUCGAGUCCUGGUUUCCUAAGAAGAGAGGAAAUCGAUACAGGGACGACAGUCUUUUCAUUCUAGGUGUAGCAAGGUAGAAAUGAAGAGAUGCAAGGAACGAAUAUUACUACAAAACAUAAUUAUUGAAAAGUAAAUUUUCUUGAUGUGACGUUUAGUCUGAAUACUAGAUUUUUUGAGCCAUACCAUAAACCAAAAGAAAACCUAAGGUAUAUUAAUGUAAGAUCUAAUCACCCACCCUCAAUAAUGAAAGGGAUUAUGAGAAAUAUAUCCUGCCGAAUAUCAAGACUUUCGGCCAAUGAAACGAUAUUCAACUUGCAUACGAAAUAUUACAAUUUAUCAUUAGCUUGGGCUGGUUAUACGGAGAAAAUCAAAUAUAUAUCCAAUAAUAAUCUUAUUGAUCUACAUAGCCACACUAGUAAUAGCACCAAACUUUAUUCAGUUAUAAGAAAUAUUAAACAUAAAAUAGAGGAACGUGGUCAUCUGGAUCUAAGAAUGCACGAAGGCAAUACAAUAAAACUAGUAGGGAAAAAAGGGUCAAUCUAAAUAUUGAUUAUAACUUUAACUCCUUAGGUAAUGAUCUUAUAAUAGACUAUACUAGUAGUCAUAGAUUGAACAAAAAUAUUAAAAAAUGCAAUGUUUUGUGAUAUAAUUCAAAUAUUAUCUAGGAUCGCUAGGGUUUCGUUUGCUGCGUUAAAUAAGCAUCUUCCAAACUCUAACGAACACCAUUAGAUUUUUAAGAGGAUUACAGUGAAAUUACCAUACACUAUCUUUAAUAACCCAGAAUACUACAUUCACAAACUUAAUAUCAGAAAGAUAAACCGGGAGUUAACUAACACGAUUUGUGGAGGUAAGUAUAGAAAUGAUCUAUUUAACAAGAAUUGCAAUAGUAAAGAAGGAAAUAAUCAAACCUGUCGAAAUAAUUAUGAUAGGAAUAAUAGUUCAGAGAAUCGAUUUAUUUGUGAUAGGAAUUUGCUUAAUUUUUUUAUCAAUAUACGUUGAACAUAAACUCUUAAGCUAUUCGUGAACUUAAAAUCUACAUAAUGAAACGAUUGCAUACGUUUUAUGGUAUGUUCUAUGAACUUUGUAAUAUGCUGAUAAAUCAUUCUUGACAUGCUUUCGAUUUCCUUAUGCUUUACCCAUGAAUUCCGAUAUAUAAUUACGUAUUAAUAAUUCCAUUUUUCUUAUUGAGGCGGCGAGCUGUCAGAACCCUUACCACGCCGGGAAAAUGCUUAGCGGCAUUUCAGUCGUCUUUACGUUCUAAGUUCAAAUGCUGCCAAGAUCGGCUUUGCCCUUCAUCCUUUGGGGUUGAUAAAAUAAGCACCAGUCAAGCAUUGGGAUCGAUGUGAUCGACUUAUCUUCUUCCUCGAAAUUACUGGCUUUGUGCCAAAAUUGGACACCAAUAUUUCCUUUCUCAUUUCCAUUAAUGUUUGUUAAUUUGUAUGUAAAGCCAAAUUGAUUUGUUGGCAUCCUUUUGUCUCGGGAGACAAUGGAGUUGCGCAUAAAGUAGUCUAGUCCGGCUUUUACAUUUCAUGUCCUGAUACAUUUCCUGCUGUGGCUGUGUAGUAUAUCCUGGACAAACACUCCCUCUGGCAGGUACCGCAAAUGUAGCGAAGACUGUUCCUGGCUGGUUGUAAUGCCAUAGUUUCUUGUUGACGUCUUUUCCUGUCUUUCCAUUUCUUCUCUUUCUCUCGGUCACUCCUUUGUAUUCCCUCUCUUACGGUACGUCGCCAGUCUCCACGGUUGCCGGCAACUGCCUCCCAACCGCUAAUAUUGAUGUUGCAGGCCUUCAUGUCCCUUUUGCAAACAUCCUUGUAACGUAAGAGCGGUCUACCCACAGACCUAGUACCCCUAGCAAGCUCUCCGUAGAGUAUGUCCUUGGGGAUGCUGCCAUCUUUCAUACGGCUAACAUGCCCAAGCCAGCCAAAUUAAUACUCAGAUUUAAACACGAAAUAAUGAAUUGAUACAAAAUGCUAUCGAUCCAUCACCUUACUUCAAACUUCUAAUAUCGAUUUUGUUUUUUAUUAAUAACAAGUUUCAUUUGUAGAGUAAGGGAUUUAGACUUUUAAAUCUCUACUAUAGCUGACAUAAUUUUAACGUUAUCAGAAGAAUUCUACGAAGUCAAAUCUAUAGUAGCGAGAUAUUUACUUUAAACGUAAGGCAACUGGAAACUAUUCAGUUUUAGAAAAUGUUUUCGAUGCUUACUAGAACGAAAAUUAUUUAAUUAAACAUGAAUAAACACCUGCAAACCUAGAGUCCAUACGGCAAUAUAAUCUGAUUUCCAUUAACAAAAAAAAAAAAAAAACCAA
rnacentral:lncRNA from 1 species